rnacentral:sRNA from 1 species
GCUGGGCGUUGUGGCGCAUGCCUGUAAUCCCAGAAACUCAGGAAGCUAAGGCAGGAGGAUUGCAAAUUCAAAGCCAGCCUCAGGAAAAGCAAGGUGCUAAGCAACUCAGUAAGACCCUGUCUCUA